ACAGAACUGAAGUCAGAGCUGAAGAAGAAGAAGAACCAUCAUCUCCUAUUCAUGACUUCAGGGCAACAUCACCAGAUAUUCAGUUCUUUCCAGAUCCAGAGGAUGGCCCUUCAGAGUUCACCAGGAUGCCCACACCAGUGCAUCAGCCAGAGAGCAGAGCACCUCCAUCAGAGUUCAGACUGGCUGAUGAUCAGAUCGAGCAGAUAUCACAACGUGUGGCUUCUUUGUUAUCUAGUCAGUGGAGCAGUACUACUUUUGCACCAGGGGCCACUUCUUCUGAUCAGACCAUGACUCCCCACAUAUCCACAGUGUUUCAGAUGAUAUCAGAUCAGUCCAUCUUGAUUCAGCAGCUUGAGGACACCGUCUGGAGACUGACUGGCAGAGUUCUUGACUUGCAGGGGCAAGUCCUAGCUUUGGCCCAUCCUCAGCCACAGGAGUCUACGAUUGAGGU
rnacentral:lncRNA from 1 species